AAUCCGGCGGUACCUUCCUGGUUUCAGAGAACAAUGUGGCGGGCUCUAGCAGCGUAUACCUGGUGUAUUUACCUGGCCGUGCGGCCUGUGGGGUCGUUAGAGUGGUCAUCGGUACCAGCCUCUGGGACCCUCCCCUCAGCCCGGAGGGACAUGGCCGUGGGAUAUUUUCAGACCCAGAACAAACUGGUCGUUUUCGGAGGCAAGGGCGGGCCGAUCACAAACGAUACCUGGGUGUUUGAUUUUGUUGCAGGUUCUUGGACCGACGUGAGUGGAGCCACCGGGCCUGGGGCCCGCUUCAGCAUGGUGUACGGGGUGGUGGGGAACCACCUGUACGUCACCACGGGGGAGGGGCCGGGCAAGAUCUUCUACAACGACGUGUGGCAAUUUGACGUGACUUCCAAUACAUGGUUUCAAGUGUCCACCACGGGGACACCCCCAAGCACGCGGUACGGCGCGGCAGGGGGCGUGUACCCCGGCUCCACUCUCCUGUACGUCAGUCUGGGGUUCGCGGGGGAGCGGUUCUUUGACACCUUUGUCCUUGAUACGUCCAGCAACCAAUGGUCCACCAGGUUCUGUGAGGGUAACUGCCACCCCUACGCCCCGACCUACCCCCACGCCCGGUGUCUACACAGCGGCUCAGUGGUGGACGCCGACCGCCUGGUCAUCUAUGGCGGCUGUCUGAGCGGGGGAGAGACAGGCGGGCCCUGUCCUUCUGGAGACUCCUGGAUUUUCCGGAAUUCAGAACAAGAAUGGACUCGAUUGCCUGACUGUGCAAGCCCGAGGACAUACAGCAGCAUGGCUCUUUUACCGGAAGUGAACGGACAGAAACGAAUCGUGUUGUAUGGAGGAAUCGAGAAAAAUCGACAAGUUAUCCAGGCAGGUUCAAUUUCUGAAACAUCCAGUAGUUUCUCUUUCUUGCUGAGUAUGUAACCGUCUUUACAUGUUCUAAACACCUCGCCAUUUUUUUUUUCUCGCAGACGACAGCAUCCCCGGCAGACACGGUCGUGGUACUGGAUCCCGAUUCCAUGACAUGGACAACACGAAUAACAACAGCAGUAAGCCUUUGUAAAUUCUAGCCUACCACUUCUUAUACAUGUAUAUAUUCAUUUUCAUAUAAAACGUGGGGUCUUUACUUUGAUUCUGCUACAGAGCGGAUCAUUUCCCGCCAAAAGAGCAUCGGCAGCAAUGGCCCUCUCGUCAUCAGGAUUAUAUUUGUUUGGAGGAAUUGAUACAGAGACGUAAGAAAUAAAAACAAAUGCAAACUUUAAAACCUUUAGUAAACUUUAAGAUGGUAAUAUCAGAGACGUGUAUACUUGCCUACGAUGAUUUUUAUUUGCCGUUGCCUAGAAACGCCUUACAGAACGACAUUUGGUUUCUGGCCGGUAACUCUACAUCUGCAGACCAAGCGGCCGCGGGGGAGUGUGUCCCCAUCUUCACAAACUUCCUGCUGGUGCAUGGGCUCCUGAUGUUCUUUGGGUGGGGCGUGUGUCUGGUGUGGGGCACGUUCAUCGCCAGAUACUUCAGUUCUUCCGGGACCACGUGGUUUCUUCUACACAGAAUCUUCCAGGUCUCUGGUUUGGUCCUCAGCUUCAUUGGGUUCGUCUUGGGGAUAGUCUCCGUCCAAUUCGACCAUUUUAAAUUCGCACACGGAGCCAUUGGAAUAAUAGUCAUGCUACUCGGCAUCAGUCAGCCAUUUAACGCAUUGGCACGUCCACACCGACCGUCAGAAGGGGAGAAAACUCCACUCAAGAGAAGGAUCUGGGAAUUGUUCCACCACAACAUCGGGCGGGUUGCAGUAGCUCUAGCCCUGAUCAACAUUUCCCUGGGGGUAUUCCUGGCCCUAGCCCACACGGCGGUCUGGGCCCUGUGGUUCGUCUAUCUUAUUGUCGUCAUUCUAGUUUUUGUGUUUUUCGAGCUCCUUAAGAUCCCAGUUGUCCAUGAAAAAAUGGCCGCCAUAUUACCAAUGAAGACCAAGGAGUAUCCGGUGUCUAACGAACAGAAGAUGGAGAAUGUCGCCAAAACAGACGACAGUCAACAAGGGGAGAAGUAGUCUGGAGGAUACCAACGCUUAGCCAUUCACUAGGGAGACAUUUGUUGAUGCAGGCAUCACUAAUUAUACAUGUCAAUACGGCUGUUGUUGUGCUGACUUUUAUACUUCAUUACAUUGAUGCUGGACAUCAUUGUUAUCACACUUUUCUCUGAUUAUUGCAAAUUCACUACACAUGUAACUAUGUUAAUAAAACCAAUUAUAGAACUAU
rnacentral:misc_RNA from 1 species